GAGGCCCUCAGGUUGGAUGCGAACAUUCAUUCAAAGGACUCCCCCGUGAUCAGAACGCAACACUGCAAUUGUAGGGAAGGCAAAAGCACAUACACAUGUGUAUAUUUCAUAAAAUAAUGUCAUACUGAAGACGAGGUAUAAGCGGUUUGGCUAACAAGCAUGCUGUUUCACCUGGCAGAGUACUGCAGCAGAUGCAGGUAGCAGGCAGACUGUGAGGUAUUCAGGAGAUCUUCAGACUACAGCGCUGGACAUAUUUCAGGAAGGCCAUCCACCUAUGUGGGACCAAAUGCAGUGGACACGCGUGAGAUAAAAAUGUGAGCAGUAAGCAGUAG